rnacentral:misc_RNA from 1 species
UCUCCGUCGGUGAACCAGCGGAGGGAUCAUUAUCGAGUUUAUAACUCCCAAACCCUAUGUGAACUUACCACUUGUUGCUUCGGCGCGCGCUUCGGUGCCGCCGAGGACACUUAAACUCUUUGUUUUUAUAAGCAUUUCUGAGUGGCCGAAAGGCAAAAUACAAAUGAAUCAAAACUUUCAACAACGGAUCUCUUGGUUCUG